rnacentral:rRNA from 1 species
GACGAACGCUGGCGGCGUGCUUAACACAUGCAAGUCGAACGAUGAACCCGGAGCUUGCUCCGGCGGAUUAGUGGCGAACGGGUGAGUAACACGUGAGUAACCUGCCCUUGACUCUGGGAUAACUGCGGGAAACUGUAGCUAAUACCGGAUACGACACCUUGGGGCAUCCCAGGGUGUGGAAAGAAUUUCGGUCAAGGAUGAGCUCGCGGCCUAUCAGCUAGUUGGUGAGGUAAUGGCUCACCAAGGCGACGACGGGUAGCCGGCCUGAGAGGGUGACCGGCCACACUGGAACUGAGACACGGUCCAGACUCCUACGGGAGGCAGCAGUGGGGAAUAUUGCACAAUGGGCGAAAGCCUGAUGCAGCAACGCCGCGUGAGGGAUGAAGGCCUUCGGGUUGUAAACCUCUUUUAGCAGGGAAGAAGCGAAAGUGACGGUACCUGCAGAAAAAGCACCGGCUAACUACGUGCCAGCAGCCGCCGUAA